rnacentral:rRNA from 1 species
AGUGAACGCUGGCGGUAGGCCUAACACAUGCAAGUCGAACGGCAGCACAGUAAGAGCUUGCUCUUACGGGUGGCGAGUGGCGGACGGGUGAGGAAUACAUCGGAAUCUACUUUUUCGUGGGGGAUAACGUAGGGAAACUUACGCUAAUACCGCAUACGACCUACGGGUGAAAGCAGGGGAUCUUCGGACCUUGCGCGAUCGAAUGAGCCGAUGUCGGAUUAGCUAGUUGGCGGGGUAAAGGCCCACCAAGGCGACGAUCCGUAGCUGGUCUGAGAGGAUGAGCAGCCACACUGGAACUGAGACACGGUCCAGACUCCUACGGGAGGCAGCAGUGGGGAAUAUUGGACAAUGGGCGCAAGCCUGGUCCAGCCAUACCGCGUGGGUGAAGAAGGCCUUCGGGUUGUAAAACCCUUUUGUUGGGAAAGAAAAGCAGCAGGUUAAUACCCCGCUGUUCUGACGGUACCCAAAGAAUAAGCACCGGCUAACUUCGUG